rnacentral:rRNA from 1 species
UACAGAGGAUGCAAGCGUUAUCCGGAAUGAUUGGGCGUAAAGCGUCUGUAGGUGGCUUUUUAAGUCCGCCGUCAAAUCCCAGGGCUCAACUCUGGACAGGCGGUGGAAACUACCAAGCUGGAGUACGGUAGGGGCAGAGGGAAUUUCCGGUGGAGCGGUGAAAUGCGUAGAGAUGUGGAGGAACACCGAUGGCGAAGGCAGCCUUCUGGGCCAACACGUGACGCUCAUCGCACGAAAGCGUGGGGAGCAAACAGG